rnacentral:rRNA from 1 species
CUUAGUGGCGGACGGGUGGGUAACGCGUGGGGAACCUGCCCUGUACAGGGGGAUAACACUUAGAAAUAGGUGCUAAUACCGCAUAAGCGCACAGUAUCGCAUGAUACAGUGUGAAAAACUCCGGUGGUACAGGAUGGACCCGCGUCUGAUUAGCUGGUUGGCGGGGUAACGGCCCACCAAGGCGACGAUCAGUAGCCGGCCUGAGAGGGUGAACGGCCACAUUGGGACUGAGACACGGCCCAAACUCCUACGGAAGGCAGCAG